CUUUGUUGUUGUGUGUCAAUUAAAUGAGCUACUCAAAGAAAGAUUAUCGUUCAGAAAAUACCAAAAAACGAAAAAGACCUUACUACAACGACUUUAUACUCGAUGAGGCCGAAGUCGACGACGAGGACGAACAGUCAGAAGAAGACAGCCGACAAUCAGACGAAGACUUGAUUGACUCAGAUGUCGAUAUAAAUGCAGGUGUGGACUACUCCGCAGUCAAUCGACAGCUCGGAAGAUU